AUUAAGAAGUGGGCUGGACUUUUAUGUAUGCGGCUGCUCAGACUGACGUUGUCAAAGCUGGUAGAAAAACGCAUAAAUUUAAUAUGUGCAACAAAACAGGGCAGCGUUAUUAUUGUUUGGUGGCACCAAAGUAAUGUUUUGGCAAAAGUUCAGAAGACUGCAAAGUUAGGCCAGUCUGUAUAAAUGUAUACAACAGAAGAAAAUGUAACCUUUGAUGAUGUUUCCCUUUAGCUGUUCAAUCACUCAAUGUCCAACAGAGGUUUUAAUUACAGUUUAUGUUUUCAUUUAAUUUCCUAACUGGUAGCACAGCACGUCACAGGCUUUUUACCUGACAGUUGAUGAGGUUUAUAAAAAUAACACUAUGCUUUUAGUUGUAUGUUAUAGUCCUAUCAUUAGGACAAAAAAUCGCUGAGUUAAAGUUUGCAAGACAUAGUGGCUUUGAUAUGCAGCUGUGAAAGUGUCACCUUGCUACAGGCGUCUUUUCAGCAGUGAACUGUGCAAGAAUUCAGUCUAAGUUUGAUCAGUGAUGAAGAACCACAAAUGUGAUGUUUCCAGUCCAUGUGUGAUCAGCUCUUCCAAAUAAAAUGACUGAAUUGGUAAUUAUUGUCACUCUCAGGUAAACUAUCAUUCACAGUGCACUACUGAGCAUGUUAUCAGGAACAACUGUACAGCUGCUUAUUUAUGCAGCUAUCCAAUCAGCCAAUCAUGUGGGAGCAGUGUAAUACAUAAAAUCCAGCAGAUACAGAUCAGGAGCUUACAUGGAACAUGACCGGUGUUUUAGGCCAAUGUUGACCAUAUCUUCCUAACCAGAUCCAGUCAUUUAGACUUCGACUUUAGUUUUUUUCUAACUGCAAUAUAUUAUUAGUGUUACAGAAAGUUGCAGCACCACAAUUUUCGUUUACAUUUACUCCCCCAUGAGAUCACAUAAGGUGGCACUCUGCUCCCUGAUUUCUCUGUCUGGCACAAUCAUAUUUAAUAAUGUCCUACAAUGUGUGAUGUGCCAUUAGUUUCAAACACUGUAGUGUCUGAGAUUAGAGGGAAAAAUGUUUGUGAUGCAACCCUGAUUUCAAAAUGUGUUUUAACAUUUGACAUUCCCAGAGGUCCUGUGUCUGUACAACAACAGGUCAGAGAUAUUUUGGUGACAUGAGAGGAACCUUCACCAUAUUCGGCAGUUAGCUUUAAUGCCGUGGCUGAUCAGUGUAUGAAUGCAAUCAUCAGCCUUUUUAAAAUGCAUUGUCUUUAUUUCUGACAUGAAGCACAUUGACUUCACAAUGAAUUCAAUUUCCACAGUGAUGUUCUACAGAAGCAUCUAUCCAAAAACGCAUGUUGAUACAUUUUAAGUCAUCCAGUAUUCACUGCUUCAGUUCAGACUUUCUUCUUUCAAAGCUUCGAGCUAACAGGCCUCAUGAUUUCCACCUCAGCUGUCCUCAGACCACACUGUUGUCUCUUCCUGUCUAACCAGUGAUGUGUUCUCUCUCCUCCACUUGCUGCUCACUCUGACUCUCACUAUCAGACACUCUGGACACACACAGAUGUUCUUAUUCUUCAACACAAAUCACAUUUUUCAGACAGUGAAGGACGUUCACUGCAAAAUGGCGUCGUUCUGACAAUUGCAAUGGUAACAACCCCAACCACAAGACUCAGACAGGCAGCAGACUGAGGAGGCAUCAGUUUCAUUCUCAGCUGCAGUGGAGUUUAUCUGGUGGCAGCAUACACAACAUUUGACUCCAUCUCUCUUCUUCUUCCUCUUUUAGCAAAUGUCACUGUUGGAUAGUUCAAGUCAUCAGAGUCUAGAUACUGUAAAUGACAACGUUAAAUUAAAAAUUACAUUUUUAGUUUGCCAUUGGACAUAGUUUGACAGCAAAACUUUUAGUCAAUGGAAUAAAAGUACAGUUUGACAUGGUGCUAAAUCAUGUUUAUAGAAUGAAGUAUUGAAACUGUAUUCACCUUGCUUACUGAAGGGUCUGUGUCUUCAUCUGAAAUCUAGAACAUACUUUCUAAUUCCCCGGAUGUGUACUCGGAGCCUGCAAUGGGCAGCUGAUCAAGGUCCUCACUGAUAUUUUCAGCGAGCCACUGGAACAAGCAUAUGUCCCUACAUGAUUUAAAACCACCUCCAUCGUGCAUGGAGGUGGAUGACAUCACACAUGACAGGCAUUUCACAUGUGAUUUGGACUCUUGAAUGUGGACACACUGCUCCUUUUAAAUGGGUAUGUGUUUGCUUUACCCUGUAGUCAAGUGGGUGGAAGGCAAUGCAACAUGUAUUUUUAUUCAUUAUAUUGCUUAAGUCACACCUGUAACAUAUCAUUCCACUGACUAUACAUCUAAUAUUCAGAUUUGAUUUAAGUAUACUGUAAGUUUUUCCAAACCUUGCAUUCAACUCUCGAGACUUUGAAUUUUCUCAGCCAGUAUUUCCUGCUUUCCUUCACGUUUUAAUUUUAGAAACCUUUGAUCUGACAGGCCUCGUGAUCUUCACAUUAGACCACAGUGUGUUGCCUCUUCCUGUCAAACAGUCGACGUGCACAUCACUCACUCUUGCACUGCUGCAGACCAAAAUCUAACUGACUGGUUGAGACUCUGGUCAAUCAUCACUGAUCUCAUUGGCUCAUCGCACAUCAAACACUAGUCACAGAGAGACAGUGUGGGUGAAAAGCCAACGAGAACAACCGCGAUGAUCUUCCAAAAGUACAAACACAAGAGCAGAUUAGUAUGAUUCAGUCAUCUGGUUCACUAUGAGCCUCUCUAAGGUUAUCUGCUGGUUGUAUUUUUACUGAGUCUGCACUUUUUCUCUGGUGAGGCCUCCUGCUUCUUAUUGUUGUUGAAUGCACAUGCAGUGGUGCAUCACAUCAGUUAACCAGGUUUGAAAUUACACAAGUUUUAAUAUUUAAUUAGUGCCUUACAGUGACUUCUGUGCAAACGUGCUGUCCAAUAAUAGUUUGAAAAAUUACUUGAGGCCGACAUUGUGUUUAAUCACCUGUUUUCUUGAGAGCAUUUCUGUCAUUGCGGCAAGAUAAGCGACUUGCAAAAAAAAAAAAGAAAACCAAUAAAACACUCCGCCCCUUUAAAUGAUCGUGUCUCUGCGGAAGAACAGUUCAAUAGCGGAGAUCGCUGCAGUCAGACACACCAUGAAGAACUUUACCUUGAUACCAGCUUUAUUUCUCUGCAGCUUUGGUGAGUAUCGACACUGAAUUACUCUCAACUUUAUUUAGAAUUUUAGUCACUCCAGUCCAUGAGGAUAUAGAGUUUUAAAAGUUUGUAGAAAGGAAGCCUUCAUGCUCCUUUUGUUUGUGUGAGUGCUUUGGUAUCUUAUUUAGUUGAUGUAAAUUUUAGUGAACAUAGAAGUAAAUAACCUCCUCUUGCAUUAAUUCCUGAUUAGUGUUAUCUGUUUCAGCUUCAGCAGCUGAGAAAUAAAUCUCUUUACUGUUUGUUUCAGGCUGGAUUUUCCUGUCAGUUACUGAGUCUCGGAUGGUUGAGGUCCAGCCUGGUGAAGAUGUCACUCUGCUGUGCUCCAACUUUUCCAGUUCUCCUUCUCAGAUAAUCUGGUUUAGACUCGUCAGUAGAACCUAUCCCCGGUGUAUUUCAUCCAUUUUCAGUUCCACUCAGCCUGCUUCAUUCUGCAGUGGAGUGGAACCCGACAGAUUUGGACUGACAUCCAACAGCUCCACUCUCUUCUUCAAAAUCAGACGUGUGGAUUAUUCUGACUCUGGGUUUUAUUUUUGUGGAUUUUACUAUAAAACACACCCAGUAAUUGUAAACUCAACAUACUUAAAGGUUCCAGAAGAAUCUGACAGAACAGCACAUCUGAUGAGUUUUAUCCUGGCUGGUCUGACUGUUCUGCUUCUAAUGGUCAUCGUUGGUCUGAUUGUUCAAAACAGAAGACUUAACAGAAUCUUGACUGAUGACCUGAACUACACUACAGUGACAUUUCGAACAGAAAUGAACAGAAGAGAGCCGGAGGUUAUUUAUUCUGCCACCAGAUAAACUGAUGCUGUAUCUUAUGAAUAUACUUUGAGGCUUGGCAUGACUUUUUGUGAGAAAAAAUGAGUUUUCCAAUAAAAAUCUGACAUUGAUUGUUUUUUGGGUUGUUGUCUCUGUCAAAGUCUUUAAUCAUAUUUAUCUUUGGAUAAGUGUUUUAGAAAGGAGGAGCUGCGAAGGACUGCCCAGAUUGUCUCAUAGUGAGGUACACAAUGAGAAGCGAGUGAUGUAAACAUUUUAUUUAUUGACAGGAAGAGACAGCACAGACUCUAAACACAAGUAGAAAGGUAAAGGUAAGAGUCAUGACGGCUGUUAACUACAAUCUUUCUGGUAAUAGAAUCUAAAGGAAAGGAAGCAGUGGACGCUGACAGACUCUGUAGUAGCAAAAACAAUACAAGCCUUCACAUCUCUGUGAAAGUUUAGUACAUUAUUAUAGAAACUUGUCAUCAAAAGUAGGGCUUGUGACCUAUGGCAGGAGCACUUGUAUGAUUUCUCUAUGCACCUUAAAUAGAAACGGAGUAGAAAACAUCACAUUCUGUGUCAGUCAGAAACCUGGAAGGAGCCAAUGCUCAUGUCGAGGUUCACUGAUGAUGAACAGUGGGUCUGCUGCUACCACUGAGAGAAGAUGGUCACAUCAUGAGCAUGCUCAUUGUUUCGUCAAAUUUUAACAGGUUGCAGGCUGAGAAUUCACAACCCAGGGUCAGACUGUCAAGACACAGUUCUACUGUAGCAUCCUGAGAUGUCUGAGGGAGAACAUUUUGUGCAAAUGACCUAAACUAGCAUGAGGUGAUGUGAGCGCCACAACACAAUUCUCUUUCCCCUUCCCUAAAAUGCAAUUAAUGUUGAAUGAUUGUAUAUUUGACAGUUUGAGAGUUUCAGUGCCUAUUUCAAAUCGACACCCUCUUAAAAUAAUGGCCAAAGUAAUUUUUCAGGUUUUUCAGGAAACACAAAAAACUGAACCACACCACACUGAACCUUGACUUAGACCGUUAUACUGUGGGGGUAGAAUCGCAUGAUCUGUUCAACGGAGGAUGUAGACGAUUUUACCAGAGGUGGCCAGUAUCAUGAGGAGAUGAUUUAGGCAAAAAAAAAAAACACCAACAAAAAAAACUUUGGUAAAAAAAAUGAUAAAGGCCAUUAUUUUAGGAAGGUGAUGAAAUGGUACUUGACAUUUUUAAAGAACAGGACUUCCAGGUAGUGCUGGAGUGCUAGGAGCACCGUAUUGCUACUUCAAUGAGUAUGGUAACCAGAUUUAAAUCAGGUCCUGCUUUUGAUGUUUAUAAGCACAGUGCAGUAUUGGAAUUUUUUGAUCGCUACUUGUAAAGUGGACUUAAAUGGAUUUCACUGUAAGCUGUCUACGGAUUUUAUCGAGACGGACAAAGAAAAUUCAGUCAGAUGAAUCUACUUGUUUGAGAAAGAUGGUGAACAUGUAGGAUGGCAUUUAAAGUUGUCUAUUUUGAAAUCCUUCACCGUAGGAAGCACUGUUAUUUGAGUUAGAGACAGUACUGCUGUCCUUGCUUCAAUUGACCACUCUUGACCAGAAUGACAUUGUUGCAGUACAGCAGUGUAACUUCUUGACCAGACUGGACUUCCACAAUCUUAGACUAAGAACCUGAGACAGAGAUCCAUGACUAUUGUUAAUAUUAGCAAGAGAGUGGUUCCAUUCUAGUACUUACUGUGGCUGAAACUGCUCACAAGGUAAAGUUCAACACCGUAUGUAAAACUCUAAAAGCUCUUUAACUGAAUUGUACUCCAAGGUGGGGUGCUAUUUUGUGGCCUAUCCAGUUCCUCACACUUACCACAUGAGAG